rnacentral:rRNA from 1 species
GUGCCAGCAGCCGCGGUAAUACGUAGGGUGCGAGCGUUGUCCGGAAUUAUUGGGCGUAAAGAGCUCGUAGGCGGUUUGUCGCGUCGGCCGUGAAAACCUGCCGCUUAACGGUGGGCGUGCGGUCGAUACGGGCAGACUUGAGUUCGGCAGGGGAGACUGGAAUUCCUGGUGUAGCGGUGAAAUGCGCAGAUAUCAGGAGGAACACCGGUGGCGAAGGCGGGUCUCUGGGCCGAUACUGACGCUGAGGAGCGAAAGCAUGGGGAGCGAACAGGAUUAGAUACCCUGGUAGUCC